rnacentral:miRNA from 1 species
AAUGCAAAACGAGGUAGAGAAAUCCUACAGGAGCGACCUGAGAUCACAUGUACCGGCCAGUGGCCUUGCCUCCAUUUGAGUCUCUCAUGUGUUCUCAGGUCGCCCCUGCGGGGCUUUUCUUUACCGUGUCAUGAUUCUUUGAUAUUGCAACCUUAACUUCCAGGUGAGUUUUGUUAUAUUUUCCUUGUCAAUGCUUGCUAGUUAUUAGUAAUAUAAAAUUCUUCACUGUCAUUUCCAUUUUAUUAAAGGGUGGUAGCACAGAAAACUUUCCUGUUCAAAUGGGAUGGCGCAGUGGUAGCAAUCAUACCUAUCUCCACUCCAAGUGGCAAGUUGAAGUGUAAUAAUGUCUCACUAUUUUUGUGUAAAAGAUUUGGGCAAAAAAAGAAAAAAAAAAAAAAAAAAAAAAAA